AUUGAACGCUGGCGGAAUGCUUUACACAUGCAAGACGAACGGCAGCACGGACUUCGGUCUGGUGGCGAGUGGCGAACGGGUGAGUAAUGUAUCGGAACGUGCCCAGUCGUGGGGGAUAACGUAGUGAAAAUUACGCUAAUACCGCAUACGACCUAUGGAUGAAAGCGGGGGAUCGCAAGACCUAGCGCGAUUGGAUCGGCCGAUAUAAGAUUAGGUAGUUAGUGGGGUAAAGGCCCACCAAGCCAACGAUCUGUAGCUGGUCUGAGAGGACGACCAGCCACACUGGAACUGAGACACGGUCCAGACUCCUACAGGAGGCAGCAGUGGGGAAUUUUGGACAAUGGGCGAAAGCCUGAUCCAGCCAUUCCGCGUGCAGGAUGAAGGCCCUUGGGUUGUAAACUGCUUUUGUACAGAACGAAAAGGUUUCUACUAAUACUAGGAGCUCAUGACGGUACUGUAAGAAUAAGCACCGGCUAACUACNUGCCAGCCGCCGCGGUAA
rnacentral:rRNA from 1 species